GCAUGUGAAAGCAAUCUGACUGAACAUCUGUCAACUUACUGAUCACCAGGGUUGAUUUGGCAGAUUGCUAACUAGACAGAGAUCUCAUUCCUUUUUCAGUGCUUCACAUGCUUUCUUCCUGAAGCUGAGCACUUCGUUGAUGAGGAUGAUAUUCCCCAAUAAAGGAGGAUCAUUCUUCAAUCAAGGGUAUACAAGUAGCUCGACUUCCCUCUUGGAACCUCCAAACGUGAUCUCAAGAAGUAGCAAGAUUAUUUUGUUCCUGAUCUUACAGAAUAGAUCAUCCACAAAAAAGAAUCAAGAAAACAGUGGACUU
rnacentral:snRNA from 1 species